AUGCCCUGGAGGAGGCGCAGGAACCGGGUGAGUGCCCUGGAGGGCGGCCGGGAGGAAGAGGCGCCCCCGGAGGCUGCCGCUGUGCCUCCGGCGCUGUUAACGUCCCCGCAGCAGACGGAGGCGGCGGCCGAGCGGAUUCUGCUCCGGGGCAUCUUCGAGAUCGGGAGGGACAGCUGUGACGUGGUGCUGAGCGAGCGAGCACUGCGGUGGCGGCCCAUUCAGCCCGAGCGCCCGGCGGGUGAUUCUAAGUAUGACUUGCUAUGUAAAGAAGAAUUUAUUGAACUCAAAGACAUAUUCUCUGUGAAACUGAAACGGCGUUGUUCUGUUAAACAGCAGAGAAGUGGUACUUUAUUAGGUAUCACACUCUUCAUCUGCUUGAAAAAGGAACAAAAUAAACUAAAGAAUUCUACACUUGAUCUUAUUAAUUUAAGUGAAGACCACUGUGACAUAUGGUUUAGACAGUUCAAGAAAAUAUUGGCAGGCUUUCCAAACAGACCGAAGUCAUUAAAAAUACUCCUUAACCCCCAAAGUCACAAAAAAGAAGCUACCCAGGUUUAUUAUGAGAAGGUUGAACCUCUGUUGAAGCUUGCAGGAAUAAAAACUGAUGUAACAAUAAUGGAAUAUGAAGGGCACGCUCUGUCACUGCUUAAGGAAUGUGAACUCCAGGGAUUUGAUGGUGUUGUCUGUGUUGGUGGAGAUGGAUCUGCUAGCGAAGUAGCCCAUGCUUUGCUUCUGAGAGCUCAGAAGAAUGCUGGGAUGGAAACAGACCGAAUCCUGACUCCUGUCAGAGCACAGCUUCCACUUGGCUUAAUACCAGCAGGAUCUACCAAUGUAUUGGCACAUUCUCUUCAUGGAGUUCCUCAUGUGAUAACUGCAACAUUGCACAUUAUAAUGGGGCAUGUACAGCUGGUCGACGUCUGCACCUUCAGCACCGCUGGCAAGCUUCUUCGCUUUGGGUUCUCAGCCAUGUUUGGCUUUGGUGGAAGAACUUUGGCUCUGGCAGAAAAAUAUCGAUGGAUGUCCCCUAACCAACGGAGAGAUUUUGCUGUUGUUAAGGCACUGGCAAAACUUAAGUAAGUCUUUUUCUUAAACCAAAAAUUUUGUAUCCCAGGUUCAAUGACUGUUAAUAACAAAUUUCAUUACAUUUUAGGGCAGAAGACUGUGAAAUAUCAUUUUUACCAUUUAACAGCUCUGAUGAUGUGCAAGAAAGGUAGGUAAAAACUCAAUGUAAUACAGAUAACCUAUAUCUUUAAAGCAUAAAACAUUCUGACAAACAAUUGAUCAGACUUAGGAUCUUUGGUUAUUUUUCUAACAUAGUAGUAAAGAAUAUAGAAUCACAGACUCUUACAGGUCCUAGUAAGCAAACAACUACUCACUCAGCCUUUUUCUCUUUUUCCUUCCUUCUUUCCUCCCUUCCUUCCCCCUCUGUCUCUCCCUCCCUCCUUCCGUUCUCUUUUUCCCUUCCCUUCCCCUUUCUUUCCUUUCCUUUAUUUUUUUCCCUUUCUUUCCUUUUCCCUUUCCCUUUUCUUUUGAGUGCCUACUAUAUGCCAGGCACUUUGAAUACAACAAUGCACCAAAAAAUGAACAAAACACACAGUUUUGUCCCUCGUGAUAAUUUUGGUCUAGUGUGUAAUACAAAUAUUAAAGCCAUAUUAAAGAAGGGUUAUAGUCUUUGAAGAAAUAGUACAUUAUUAUUCCUUAUAAUACUAGUUUACCUUUAAAUGAAUCAACACAUUAUGUUGGCAGCAACAAAAUUGUACACGUUUUUACUUACUAUCUAAUUGAAGAAAGUAUUUAACAUAUGUAAUGAUGAGUUCUCUAAUUUUCUCAUAUUUAAUAGAUUUGUGUGUGUGUGCGUGUGUGUGUGUGUGUGUCUGUGCGCGCGUUACCUGUUUUAUGUCUUUGUUUUGUUUUCCUUCUUUUAGGAGGGCACAGGGAUCUCCCAAAUCUGGUGAGUCGAAAAGUAUCUCCUUGAGAACUGUGCCAGGUUCUGUUGAUAUUUUGCUCUGGUGAGGGAAAAUAACCAAUCACUUUCAUUACCUUUAGACUGUAAUGAUCAAUGGCAAAUGAUCCAGGGUCAGUUCUUGAAUGUCAGCAUUAUGGCAAUUCCUUGCCUGUGUUCAGUGGCACCUAGAGGCUUGGCACCUAAUACCAGAUUAAAUAAUGGAAGUAUGGCUCUUAUAAUUGCCCGAAACACUUCUCGGCCAGAAUUUAUAAAACACUUGAAAAGAUAUGCCAGUGUAAAAAAUCAGUUCAAUUUUCCAUUUGUUGAGACUUACACUGUUGAGGAAGUAAAAGUUCAUCCAAGGAAUAAUACUGGUGGAUAUAAUCCAGAGGAGGAGGAGGAUGAAACUGCUUCAGAAAAUUGUUUCCCUUGGAAUGUAGAUGGUGAUUUAAUGGAAGUUGCAUCAGAGGUCCAUAUUAGAUUGCAUCCAAGACUUAUCAGUCUUUAUGGAGGAAGCAUGGAAGAAAUGAUUCCAAAGUAA
rnacentral:sRNA from 1 species